rnacentral:tRNA from 1 species
ACCUGUGUUGGCGCAGUCGGUUAGCGCGUGGUACUUAUAAUGCCAAGGUCGCCAGUUCGAGCCUGGCAUGGGGCA